rfam:Salmo salar isolate Sally breed double haploid chromosome ssa10, whole genome shotgun sequence.
UGCAUUCACUACUGUAAAUCGCUCUGGAUAAGAGCGUCUACGAAAUGACUAAAA